rnacentral:misc_RNA from 1 species
GAAAUGCGAUACGUAGUGUGAAUUGCAGAAUUCAGUGAAUCAUCGAAUCUUUGAACGCACAUUGCGCCCUUUGGUAUUCCUUAGGGCAUGCCUGUUCGAGCGUCAUUUGUAACCUCAAGCUCAGCUUGGUGUUGGGUGUCUGUCCCCGCCCCGCGCGGGGACUCGCCUCAAAAACAUUGGCGGCCGGUACGUUGGCUUCGAGCGCAGCAGAAACGCGAACUCGAGGCCCGACGGAUCGGCGACCAGAAGUCACUUCUUCCACAGCUUGACCUCGGAUCAGGUAGGGAUACCCGCUGAACUUAAGC